rnacentral:rRNA from 1 species
AACGAACGCUGGCGGCAGGCUUAACACAUGCAAGUCGAACGAUGAAGCUAGAGCUUGCUCUGGUGAAUUAGUGGCGAACGGGUGAGUAACACGUGAGUAACCUGCCCCGAACUCUGGGAUAACUGCUGGAAACGGUAGCUAAUACUGGAUACGACCUACGAAGGCAUCUUCUGUAGGUGGAAAGAAUUUCGGUUCGGGAUGGACUCGGGGCCUAUCAGCUUGUUGGUGAGGUAAUGGCUAACCAAGGCGACGACGAGUAGCCGGCCUGGGAGGGUGACCGGCCACACUGGGAUUGAGCUACGGCCCAGACGCCGACGGGAGACAGGAGUGGGGAAUAUUGCACAAGGGGCGCAAGCCUGAUGCAGCGACGCCGCGUGAGGGAUGAAGGUCUUCGGAUUGUAAACCUCUUUCAGUAGGGACGAAGCGAAAGUGACGGUACCUAAAGAAGAAGCACCGGCUAACUACGUGCCAGCAGCCGCCGUAA